rnacentral:lncRNA from 1 species
GGGAAGAAUGAGGAUUAUGGAGAGAUUGGGAUUUCAAGGGUGGUUGCCUCUCUUCAAAGUCGAUGAUUUUUCCCCAUUACUAGCAACAAAAAAUCAACAGCCCUUGGAAAAUUGCAGAGGAAGCAGCAGCAUAUAUGAUUGUGAAACAUUCCAUUGAUUUUACUAUACAUCCUUCUGGGUUUGCCGAGAAAUUAUGCAUUUUCAUCUACUAUUACUCACUUUUUCCAUCACCAUUUCUUAAGGCUGUGAUGAUGCAUCUCAUUCUUCCGAGCUCAUCAAUUAGGCAUCGAGACAAUUCGACCCGUAUCUUGGCGUGGCGACCCGGAUUGUACUUGAUUUUAGAUUUUUCUGUCUCAAGAGCAACCGGUGAUUUUGCAGCCAUGGCAUGGUUGAUUCUCUUUGUCGAUCAAGAUCUCAGAUCUGAGCCUUAUUUUCAAUUUUUCCCCUAGUUUGGAAAUUUUGAUUUUGAAGCAUUGUUUUGUUAAAUAAUAAGAAAUUUUUACACCUAUAUUUAGAUGAAUAUUUCAUAAAACAAUUAUUUAUUUAUUUAUUUUUUGCAUUAUUUACAGAAUUGCCUCCCUCAGUCCCUUGAAUCCCAAAGAUCUCAAUUGCAGUCAAAUAAGGGGCAUAUUUGGAACAUUGAGCUACUAGGGUUAGCAGCUUGGAAGGUAAGAAUGAG